GACGGAGGGCGCAAGCGUUGUUCGGAAUCAUUGGGCGUAAAGCGUAUGCAGGCGGCCAAGUCAGUCCGAUGUGAAACCCCGGGGCUCAACCCCGGACGUGCAUUGGAGACUGCUUGGCUUGAGUCCGAGAGGGGUCAGUGGAAUUCCUGGUGUAGGGGUGAAAUCCGUAGAUAUCAGGAGGAACACCGGCGGCGAAGGCGACUGACUGGAUCGGAACUGACGCUGAGAUACGAAAGCGCGGGUAGCGAACAGG
rnacentral:misc_RNA from 1 species